rnacentral:tRNA from 2 species
ACAGUCGUGGCCGAGUGGUUAAGGCUAGAAAUCCUUUGGGGUCUCCCCGCACAGGUUCGAAUCCUGUCGACUGUG